rnacentral:rRNA from 1 species
GGCCUUACACAUGCAAGUCGAGCGGGCGAGGUUGCUUCGGUAACUGAGCUAGCGGCGGACGGGUGAGUAAAGCUUAGGAAUCUGCCUAUUAGUGGGGGACAACAUUCCGAAAGGGAUGCUAAUACCGCAUACGUCCUACGGGAGAAAGCAGGGGAUCACUUGUGACCUUGCGCUAAUAGAUGAGCCUAAGUCGGAUUAGCUAGUUGGUGGGGUAAAGGCCUACCAAGGCGACGAUCUGUAGCGGGUCUGAGAGGAUGAUCCGCCACACUGGGACUGAGACACGGCCCAGACUCCUACGGGAGGCAGCAGUGGGGAAUAUUGGACAAUGGGGGGAACCCUGAUCCAGCCAUGCCGCGUGUGUGAAGAAGGCCUUUUGGUUGUAAAGCACUUUAAGCGAGGAGGAGGCUUACCUGGUUAAUACCUGGGAUAAGUGGACGUUACUCGCAGAAUAAGCACCGGCUAACUCUGUGCCAGCAGCCGCGGUAAUACAGAGGGUGCGAGCGUUAAUCGGAUUUACUGGGCGUAAAGCGCGCGUAGGUGGUUAAUUAAGUCAAAUGUGAAAUCCCCGAGCUUAACUUGGGAAUUGCAUUCGAUACUGGUUAGCUAGAGUAUGGGAGAGGAUGGUAGAAUUCCAGGUGUAGCGGUGAAAUGCGUAGAGAUCUGGAGGAAUACCGAUGGCGAAGGCAGCCAUCUGGCCUAAUACUGACACUGAGGUGCGAAAGCAUGGGGAGCAAACAGGAUUAGAUACCCUGGUAGUCCAUGCCGUAAACGAUGUCUACUAGCCGUUGGGGGAUUUGAUCCUUUAGUGGCGCAGCUAACGCGAUAAGUAGACCGCCUGGGGAGUACGGUCGCAAGACUAAAACUCAAAUGAAUUGACGGGGGCCCGCACAAGCGGUGGAGCAUGUGGUUUAAUUCGAUGCAACGCGAAGAACCUUACCUGGCCUUGACAUAGUAGAGACUUUCCAGAGAUGGAUUGGUGCCUUCGGGAAUC